GACGAACGCUGGCGGCGUGCCUAAUACAUGCAAGUCGAACGCAGUGGGGACGGGUGAGUAACACGUGGGUAACCUCCCAUCAGAGGGGAUAACACUUGGAAACAGGUGCUAAACCGAUACUGAUGGAUGGACCCGCGGUGCAUUAGCUAGUUGGUGAGGUAACUGCUCACCAAGGCCACGAUGCAUAGCCGACCUGCACGGGUGACCGCCCACACUGGGACUGAGACACGGCCCAGACUCCUAGGCGAGGCACCAGUAGGGAAUCUUCGGCAAUGGACGGAAGUCUGACCGAGCAACGCCGCGUGAGUGAAGAAGGUUUUCGGAUCAUAAAACUCUGUUGUUAGAGAAGCGGUAUCUAACCAGAAAGCCACGGCUAACUCCGUGCCAGCCGCCGCGGUAAUUC
rnacentral:rRNA from 1 species